rnacentral:lncRNA from 1 species
AGAUUUUGGCGCUGUACAACUUGAGGCAAAGCAUUAGGUCAUUACUCUAGCUUCAGGAAUUGUUUCUAUUUGUGAAGUACUCACUCUUUGCUCUGAGGUGAUUUUUAAUUUCUAGAAUGGCAUGUAUUAAUUUAAAGCUCAAAGCCCCACCCUUAACAAUGAUAGCUGCAACUAAAAGACGGGGUGAUUUUUAACAACUUUAACUAGAAGUAGCUGUAGCAAUUACUCCUUGUUUAGUCAAUAGCACAGUUGGUAGUAAAAUUGUCAACGAUUUAACAACCCACCAGUACCUCUUCUAAGCUGCCCCAGAGGCAGACGCAGCCAAUGCUAUCAGUUUAGAUCUUCCAUCUAAACCUAAGAUCUAACCCCAAUCCUGGGGUUAGAACACGGCAUGUGUUUGCAUCUGGCAGAGGAGACAAGGCAAAGGCUCAUGUAAAUGAAGACUGUGUGUUCUUUCAAGGAAGGCUGAGUUUACAAACAGAAUCCUUAAGACAAACAGGCCUGCUGGAGCCAUUGUGGGUGGGUGCCUGUGAAUUCCAGCUGAAGAGCAUGUUGGCCCCUGAGAGCACCAGGAAGCUCCUCCCAGAGACUGUGCUCUGCUUUCAGACAUGGUUUCUUACAGGGCAUUCUCAGUCCGUCUCAGAAGAGAUGCUUAGCACUCUCCAGGAAUGAAUACGCAUAAGGAGGACUUGGUCUUCUCUGGAUGGAACCUUGUUUAUUCAAUUCCAUACUCCACAUGGGGCUUGAGAGACUGUGAGAAGGGAUGCGAGGGGCGUGGGGCUACCAAUAAGUGGGACCUUAGUACCAGAAGCAGCGCUUUCGAGAACCUCCUAACGCAGCCAACUUCCUGGUGUGGUAACACCUGCGUUUUCAGAGCAGAGAAAAUACAGCAGCCCUACAUGUGGUUAACUGGAUACGAUCAGGACACUUCAGCUUUCAAAACCAAGUUGGACCCCAGGAACAUGCUUUUAUUUGACCUGUUCAUCGUCAUCGAUUGUCCUCUGGCUGCAGGCCUCUCUACUGCUGGGAGUCGGCUCUCGGCACGCCAAUCAGUGCACUCACUGGCAAGGAGUUUUACUUCUCAGUUAGCGCAGUUCAGCAGUGGCUGGCAGAUGCUGGCAGUGGAAUGCCACCAUGCGUGUAAGUGAUGCAGCUGCUGCCCCCACUCCUAAGGAACAGAGCCAUAGAGAGCCUCGCCUGGUCCCAGAGCUGUCCUUCUCACACUGUAUAUAGAGGAGCUGUGGACCACGGAGGCCAGUGAAGACCUUUCUCUCUUUCUUUAGACUUGGGGUUUUUAAAAUUAUUUUUAUUUUUUAAUUUUCUUAUGGAAGAUUCACCCUGAGUGAACAUCAGUGCCAAUCUUCCUCUACUUUUUAGUAUGUGGGCUGCCAGCACAGCAUGGCCACUAACAGAGUGGUGUAGGUCUGCGCCCAGGAACUGAACCCGAGCCACCAAAAAAAGCAGAGCGUGCUGAACUUAACCACUGGGCUACCCAGGCUGGCCCUUGAUCUGGGAUUUUAUAAAAGACACACCUGCCAAUUGUGGAAAGCUCAAUAGCCUGAAUGUGCCUCAAUCAAUUACCUCGCGAAGAUGCAGUACUUCAUCAUUUAUGACGCUUGUCACGACCAUCAUCGCUGUCCUUGAGUAUUAAUAUAAUGAGAGCAGUAUUAAGAAAGAGUUGAUGAGCACUGGAGCCACAUUUAUACUGCCUUGUUUUGUGACAGUUGAACAGGCUCUCUAAAGGGACAAUGGAGGAAUAAUAUGGCCCCAGAUGAUCCUGUCUGUCCUCUGUCCCUGAACGGUCAUUUUAGUAAGUUAAUUUACAAAAUGGCCAUUUGACAAAAUUUUAAACAAAAUAGUUGUAAUUUAAAGGCAUGCCUGAAAUUUGGGCUAUAGAUGGAGUCAAGUUUUUACUUCCAACGAUUCUGCGUAUGUUAGUUUUGCUUACAGUAAACACUCAAAAGAUUUUAUUAAGUGAAUGAUGUACUAAAUAUUGACUGACUAUUUGACUUUGCUCCUUGUAGGGUUGAUGCAAGGUAGACGUAAUACAAAACUCGAGCUCAGUCUUCUUAAUGUGGUGAAAAUGGCCAUUCUGUUAUUUCCAAUUUGCCAAGCGUGUUUUAUGGGCACACAGUGGGGUACACUCUGUUGGCUGUAUGUAAAAACCAUAUUUUGUUAAUUAGAGGCCUAUAAUAAACCACUCAUUUUUAUGGCAUGUGAGUCCACUUGAUUCAGAAAGCUUGGCAUCUGGCUCUGAUUAUGUCUCCUGGUGUGGCUGUGGGACUUCCUUCAUGCCUCUUCCCUCACCUGUUUGGGGAGAGUUAGGAUGGAAACUUGACUUCUGCAGAGAAAAGGUGAAAAGGGAGAUUUUGAUCAUUUUAAACAUGGUUAUACGGGAUGAACACAGCAAGAUGGACAAAUCUGCACGGCAUCAGGACCCUGUGGAAGAUUUUCAGGGCUUGCAAGAUUUGACUAUUUCUUUUUUUUUCUAUUUGUGGAAAAUAUCAAACUAUAAGCUACCUCAAAUUCUUUAUGGAAUGAGGCAGAGUAUAAAUAAAAUAUACUAUGUGUACAG